rnacentral:rRNA from 1 species
GACGGAGGAUGCAAGUGUUAUCCGGAAUCACUGGGCGUAAAGCGUCUGUAGGUGGUUUAAAAAGUCCACUGUUAAAGGUUGAAGCUUAACUUCAAAAAUGCCGUGGAAACUUUUAAACUAGAGUAUGGUAGGGGUAGAGGGAAUUUCCAGUGGAGCGGUGGAAUGCGUAGAUAUUGGAAAGACCACCAAUGGCGAAGGCACUCUACUGGGCCAUUACUGACACUGAGAGACGAAAGCUAGGGGAGCGAAUGGG